rnacentral:rRNA from 1 species
AGAGUUUGAUACUCAGGACGAACGCUGGCGGCGUGCCUAACACAUGCAAGUCGAACGGGGACUGUCUAAAGCUUGCUUUAAGAGCAGUUCUAGUGGCGGACGGGUGAGUAACGCGUGAGGAACCUGCCUUUCAGAGGGGGAUAACGUCUGGAAACGGACGCUAAUACCGCAUGACAUUUUAGAGUCACAUGGCUUUAGAAUCAAAGGAGCAAUCCGCUGGAAGAUGGACUCGCGUCCGAUUAGCCAGUUGGUGAGGUAACGGCCCACCAAAGCGACGAUCGGUAGCCGGACUGAGAGGUUGAACGGCCACAUUGGGACUGAGACACGGCCCAGACUCCUACGGGAGGCAGCAGUGGGGGAUAUUGCACAAUGGAGGAAACUCUGAUGCAGCAACGCCGCGUGAGGGAAGACGGUCUUCGGAUUGUAAACCUUUGUCCUUGGUGAAGAUAAUGACGGUAGCCGAGGAGGAAGCUCCGGCUAACUACGUGCCAGCAGCCGCGGUAAUACGUAGGGAGCAAGUGUUGUCCGGAUUUACUGGGUGUAAAGGGUGCGUAGGCGGCUCUGCAAGUCAGGUGUGAAAACCAUCGGCUCAACUGAUGGACUGCAUUUGAAACUGUGGGGCUUGAGUGAAGUAGAGGCAGGUGGAAUUCCCGGUGUAGCGGGUGGAAUGCGUAGAGAUCGGGAGGAACACCAGUGGCGAAGGCGGCCUGCUUGGGCUUUAACUGACGCUGAAGGCACGAAAGCAUUGGGUAGCAAACAGGAUUA